AUUGAACGCUGGCGGCAUGCCUAACACAUGCAAGUCGAACGAGUGGCGGACGGGUGAGCAAUUUCUGGGAAACUGCCUGAUGGAGGGGGCUAACUACUGGAAACGGUAGCUAAUACCGCAUACCAUCCGAUGGGCCCAGAUGGGAUUAGCGUGUUGGUGGGGUAACGGCGCACCAAGGCGAAGAUACCUAGCUGGUCUGAGAGGAUGACCAGCCACACGGGAACUGAGACACGGUCCAGACUCCUACGGGAGGCAGCAGUGGGGAAUAUUGCGCAAUGGGCGCAAGCCUGAUGCAGCCAUGCCGCGUGUAUGAAGAAGGUCUUCGGGUUGUAAAGUACUUUCGGCGGAGAGGCGUUACCCACAGAGGAAGCAACGGCUAACUCCGUGCCAGCAGCCGCGGUAAUAC
rnacentral:rRNA from 1 species